GUGGGGAAUAUUCCGCAAUGGACGAAAGUCUGACGGAGCAACGCCGCGUGAGUGAUGAAGGUUUUCGGACUGUAAAGCUCUGUUGUUUAGGACGAAAGUGCCUGUUGCAAAUAGUUACAGGUAUUGACGGUACUGAACGAGGAAGCCACGGCUAACUACGUGCCAGCAGCCGCGGUAAUACGUAGGUGGCAAGCGUUGUCCGGCAUUAUUGGGCGUAAAGAGCAUGUAGGCGGGAAUCUAAGUCUGUUGUGAAAAUGCGGGGCUCAACCCCGUAUUGCGAUGGAAACUGGGUUUCUUGAGUGCAGGAGAGGAAAGGGGAAUUCCCAGUGUAGCGGUGAAAUGCGUAGAUAUUGGGAGGAACACCAGUGGCGAAGGCGCCUUUCUGGACUGUGUCUGACGCUGAGAUGCGAAAGCCAGGGUAGCGAACGGGAUUAGAAACCCUGGUAGUCC
rnacentral:rRNA from 1 species